GUCAUCGUGGCAGAGUGGUCCAAUGCAGGAGCCUGCAAAGCUUUACAACCGUGGGUUCAAAUCCCACCGAUGACU
rnacentral:tRNA from 1 species